UACGGGGGGGGCAAGCGUUGUUCGGAAUUACUGGGCGUAAAGGGCGCGUAGGCGGUUUGCUAAGUUGGAUGUGAAAACUCUGGGCUUAACCCAGAGCCUGCAUCCAAAACUGGCAAACUUGAGUACUGGAGGGGAAAGCGGAAUUCCUGGUGUAGCGGUGAAAUGCGUAGAUAUCAGGAGGAACACCCGUGGCGAAAGCGGCUCUCUGGGACGGUACUGACGCUGAGACGCGAAAGCGUGGGGAGCAAACAGG
rnacentral:rRNA from 1 species